rnacentral:rRNA from 1 species
CUAGUUGUCGGGUUUUAAUUAACUUGGUAACGCAGCUAACGCGUGAAGUAGACCGCCUGGGGAGUACGGUCGCAAGAUUAAAACUCAAAGGAAUUGACGGGGACCCGCACAAGCGGUGGAUGAUGUGGAUUAAUUCGAUGCAACGCGAAAAACCUUACCUACCCUUGACAUGGAAGGAAUCCUGAAGAGAUUUGGGAGUGCCCGAAAGGGAACCUUCACACAGGUGCUGCAUGGCUGUCGUCAGCUCGUGUCGUGAGAUGUUGGGUUAAGUCCCGCAACGAGCGCAACCCUUGUCAUUAGUUGCUACGCAAGAGCACUCUAAUGAGACUGCCGGUGACAAACCGGAGGAAGGUGGGGAUGACGUCAAGUCCUCAUGGCCCUUAUGGGUAGGGCUUCACACGUCAUACAAUGGUACAUACAGAGGGCCGCCAACCCGCGAGGGGGAGCUAAUCCCAGAAAGUGUAUCGUAGUCCGGAUUGUAGUCUGCAACUCGACUACAUGAAGUUGGAAUCGCUAGUAAUCGCGGAUCAGCAUGUCGCGGUGAAUACGUUCCCGGGUCUUGUACACACCGCCCGUCACACCAUGGGAGCGGGUUUUACCA